rnacentral:rRNA from 1 species
ACUUGUGGCCAUACCACCCUGAACAUGCUUGAUCUCGUCUGAUCUCGGUGGAUGAGCAGGGUUGGGGCUGGUUAGUACUUGGAUGGGAGACCACCUGGGAAUGCCAGGUGCUGUAAGCU